GAUGAACGCUAGCUACAGGCUUAACACAUGCAAGUCGAGGGACCGGCGCACGGGUGAGUAACACGUAUCCACCCUGCCCUUUACUCGGGGAUAGCCUUUCGAAAGAAAGAUUAAUACCUGAUGUAAAGGAUGGGGAUGCUUUCCAUUAGGUUUUUGGUGAGGUAACGGCUCACCCAGCCUUCGAUGGAUAGGGGUUCUGAGAGGAAGGUCCCCCACAUUGGAACGGUGACACGGUCCAAACUCCUACGGGAGGCAGCAGUGAGGAAUAUUGGUCAAUGGGCGUUAGCCUGAACCAGCCAAGUAGAGUGAAGGAUGAAGGCUUAUGGGUCGUAAACUUCUUUUAUAUAAGAAUAUGUAUUAUAUGAAUAAGGAUCGGCUAACUCCGUGCCAGCAGCCGCGGUAAUUC
rnacentral:rRNA from 1 species